GAAAACAUAUACUGCUACGAGCUCCUAUGCAGAAACAAAAAGAUGCCUUGGUUUUUUUUUUUUUUUUUAAUCUUUUGAGGGGCUGUCUCAAUAACUCCUAUGUCCCUUUUUUUUUUUUUUUUUGUUCCUUUUCCUUGUUCUUCUGGUUUAAAUUAUGUUUUUAAUUGAAAUAAUUAGGGUGGAAGAAUAACAAGAAAUGGGUUAUUAAUUAUAUUAGCCUUUUAAGAGUAUUGUAUAAUACGCAUAUAAUGUAGAAUGUUUUGACUAUGUAUGCUUUUGAUUGGUUUUUAUAAUAUGAUCUUUGAUGCUACGACUCUGGCAAAGGUGAUUCCAUAUAAUCUUGUGUCAUUGAGUGUUUAGUGAGAAUUUGGAGCAUCUGGUAAUUUUUUCAAUUUAUUUGUAGGUGGUGUUGGCCUUCGAGAGCUUCAAGUCUAAGAGAUUGACGGAUUAGAUUAGAAUAAUAAUAAUAAUCAUAAUAAUAACAUUUUUGCAUCAGACUGAUCGUCGUUAAAGUCAACAAUAACAGAAAUGCUACAGAAAAAUAAAAAUCCCACCAACGCGUUUUUGCACUUUACCAAAAACACCCCCCAAAACUCCCAAACACUUGUUGAAAAUGUGUUUUGAGGAACAAAUAGCGCUGAGAAACCAUACGAAACAUAAAGGAAAAAUCUGGUUGCUGUCCCGCAUACGGGGACUGUAUUACAGUCCUAAAUGAAAUGGUGUGUUUAAUUAUUAAACACACCAUUUCAUUUAGGAGAAAAGAACCCAACCCGUCUUCCCCCUAGGUUAGGUCUUCUCCUUCUUCAUUGAAUUAAGAGUUCCCUUCCUCUGAAGAAAUCACACCGUCCCGAGCCCCUUCAUACUGCUGUCGCCGCCGCCGUCUCCACCGCAGCACAUAAACGUCGUUGUUUGCUUCCAGAAAAUGGGACUAUAUUGCUGUGAGUUUUGUAAAGUUUUGAUAUGUAAUGUCUUCAUCAUAUGCUUCAUCAUCUUUGAACACCCCUCCAAAAUGUUUAUGCGAAGAGAUGGUACGUCUAAAAUUGUCGAACACUCCUAGAAAUCCAAGGCGACCUUUUUAUUCAUGUCCAAAUUACAAUAAAGAGGUAAAUACUAAUUAGUUAGUCUUGUUUGUGCAGCAUUUUUGAAGACCUUGAACUUGGCAUUAUGUAAUUAGUUAGUCUUGUUUGCUGCAGGGAAGGCCAUAUUGUGAGUACUUUUUAUGGGCAAACAUUGGAGUAGAAAAUGAAGCAAAAGUUGUUUGCGAAAGAGAACGUGACCUCCAAGAGAGAAAAGAAGAACUCCAAAAGUGGCAAGAUGAACUCCAAAAGUGGGAGGAAGAACUCCAAAAAAGG